AGAAGCCAGUCCUCUUCUGCACAGAGUGGUCCUUCGAGCCGGAACCAGAGCCUGCAGCGGAGCAAGAUGUCUACCACCUCGGACAUAGAGUCUAGUGCACGAUCCAGGAGGCAGCGGUCCCUCCCUAACUACUUGCAAGAUUAUGACUUGUCUGAUCUCCCGACCAGAUCUCAAACCAAGAAGCCUUCUGAGUCACAGUCCAGAGAGCAGCUAGACGAAGAGGACCACAGCAGACCCGAUUCACGCUCUGCACCCCCAGAAGGUCAGCUGCACCACAGCCCAGCGCGAUGGUCAGUCACUGAUAGAUGGGAAUCUUCUGCAGAAGAGUGGAGAAGGGAGUGCCGCAUACUAGAGCGUGAAAGGGAAGAUCUCCUAGCAUCAAUGGAGGAAUUAAAAAUACAGAACGAGCAGCUCAGAGCCAGAGCGGAGCCCAGCAAUUCCCGUUCAGAGCCACGUACUGUAGCUGCCAGAGAUAGACUUUACAGAGAAGGGCUGGAUUAUGGAGGUGCUUCAACCCAGUACAGAUCAGUCUACUUCCGGGAAAGGGAGACACCACCACAAUGGUCUUCUGACAGGCGUCAUGACUACAGUAGAGAGACAAAGGACUACAGAGAAUUAACCAGGUAUGACUCUCCCUCACCUAAGCGCUCUCCCGAGCCAGUACGCACCAAGCACCAGGCCUCGCGACGAAGCUAUGAGUCCAGAGAAGGGCGCUACAGUUCUCAAUAUAAUUAUGAGCAGUGCAGCCACCGCCGCUCACCUGAGCACUACGCCAGCUACAGAGACCCUAGUUAUUCCUUCAGAGAAUACAGAGAACCAUCAUGCCGAGGUGACUACUCUCCUGCACGCCGCUGCAGCUACUCUCCAGACCAGCGUGAGAGACGUAGUCCCCCUUCACCUUGGCACGAGCCCAGACGCCGACGCUCAGUGACUCCCCCUGGUGGACAGGAAAGAACAUACAGAGGGCCCACUCCUACAAUCCCGAACUUCAACCGUCCUAACCCAAGAGACUUUGCAAGACUCCG
ensembl:lncRNA